rnacentral:rRNA from 1 species
GAUGAACGCUGGCGGCGUGCCUAAUACAUGCAAGUCGAACGCGAGCAGCAAUGCUCGAGUGGCGAACGGGUGAGUAAUACAUAAGUAACCUGCCCUAGACAGGGGGAUAACUGCUGGAAACGGCAGCUAAGACCGCAUAGGUAUGGACACUGCAUGGUGACCAUAUUAAAAGUGCCAAGGCACUGGUAGAGGAUGGACUUAUGGCACAUUAGCUGGUUGGUGAGGUAACGGCCCACCAAGGCAAUGAUGGGUAGCCGGCCUGAGAGGGUGAACGGCCACAAGGGGACUGAGACACGGCCCUU